AUGUGGGGGACACUGUUGGGACCGCCUCUGCUAAAGAGGAGGAAGGAAUGGGCAACGGUAGGUCAGCAUGCCCCGAAUUAUCCGGGCUACACGCGGGCUACAAUGGUCAGGACAAUGGGUAUCGACACCGAGAGGUGGAGGCAAUCUCCUAAACCUGUCCUUAGUUCGGAUUGUGGGCUGCAACUCGCCCACAUGAAGCUGGAAUCCGUAGUAAUCGCGUUUCAAAAUAGCGCGGUGAAUAUGUCCCUGCUCCUU
rnacentral:rRNA from 1 species